rnacentral:rRNA from 1 species
UACGGAGGGAGCAAACGUUGUUCGGAUUUACUGGGCGUAAAGGGUGAGUAGGCGGUCUUGUAAGUCAGGGGUGAAAUCUCUCGGCUCAACCGAGAAACUGCCUUUGAGACUGCAGGACUUGAGGGCGUGAGAGGAGACUGGAAUUCCUAGUGUAGCGGUGAAAUGCAUAGAUAUUAGGAGGAACACCAGUGGCGAAGGCGGGUCUCUGGGCAACAACUGACGCUGAGGAGCGAAAGCGUGGGGAGCGAACAGG